AGUUUGACAACAUAACAAGGCACAUUCCUGUUCUGAUAUUUACAUGAGUUUUAAUUCCGACACUUCAAAGUCAACCACACGACACUUUUAUGUAAAAAGCAUACAAACGGAGGAAGAUCAAGGGUGUACAACACAGAACAGAACCAAAGUAUUAAAGCUAAUUCACUUAUGCAGCUUCCGCAAAUCCAACUCUCAAAUUACCAUAGUCGAAUACUGUAUGGAAGC
rnacentral:misc_RNA from 1 species